GCAAUGCCGCGUGAGUGAAGAAGGCCUUCGGGUUGUAAAGCUCUUUUGUCAGGGAAGAAAAGGCUACGGAUAAUACCUGUGGCUCAUGACGGUACCUGAAGAAUAAGCACCGGCUAACUACGUGCCAGCAGCCGCGGUAAUACGUAGGGUGCAAGCGUUAAUCGGAAUUACUGGGCGUAAAGCGUGCGCAGGCGGUUUUGUAAGACUGUCGUGAAAUCCCCGGGCUCAACCUGGGAAUGGCGAUGGUGACUGCAAGGCUAGAGUUUGGCAGAGGGGGGUAGAAUUCCACGUGUAGCAGUGAAAUGCGUAGAUAUGUGGAGGAACACCGAUGGCGAAGGCAGCCCCCUGGGUCAAAACUGACGCUCAUGCACGAAAGCGUGGGGAGCAAACAGGAUUAGAUACCCUGGUAGUCCACGCCCUAAACGAUGUCUACUAGUUGUCGGGUCUUAAUUGACUUGGUAACGCAGCUAACGCGUGAAGUAGACCGCCUGGGGAGUACGGUCGCAAGAUUAAAACUCAAAGGAAUUGACGGGGACCCGCACAAGCGGUGGAUGAUGUGGAUUAAUUCGAUGCAACGCGAAAAACCUUACCUACCCUUGACAUGGAUGGAAUCCCUGAGAGAUU
rnacentral:rRNA from 1 species